UGUAUGGUUAAGUGACUAAGCGUACACGGUGGAUGCCUGGGCAGUCAGAGGCGAUGAAGGACGUACUAACUUGCGAUAAGCGCAGAUAAGGCAGUAAGAGCCGUUUGAGUCUGCGAUUUCCGAAUGGGGAAACCCAACUGCAUAAGCAGUUACUGUUAACUGAAUACAUAGGUUAACAGAGCAAACCGGGGGAACUGAAACAUCUAAGUACCCCGAGGAGAAGAAAUCAACCGAGAUUCCGGUAGUAGCGGCGAGCGAACCUGGAUUAGCCCUUAAGCACUCGGUGAAGUAGGUGAACAAGCUGGAAAGCUUGGCGAUACAGGGUGAUAGCCCCGUAACCGACGCUUCAUCGAGCGUGAAAUCGAGUAGGGCGGGACACGUGAUAUCCUGUCUGAAUAUGGGGGGACCAUCCUCCAAGGCUAAAUACUCCUGACUGACCGAUAGUGAACCAGUACCGUGAGGGAAAGGCGAAAAGAACCCCUGUGAGGGGAGUGAAAUAGAACCUGAAACCGUGUACGUACAAGCAGUAGGAGCACCUUCGUGGUGUGACUGCGUACCUUUUGUAUAAUGGGUCAGCGACUUAUAUUCAGUGGCAAGGUUAACCGUAUAGGGGAGCCGUAGCGAAAGCGAGUCUUAACUGGGCGCUCAGUCUCUGGAUAUAGACCCGAAACCGGGUGAUCUAGCCAUGGGCAGGUUGAAGGUUGAGUAACAUCAACUGGAGGACCGAACCGACUAAUGUUGAAAAAUUAGCGGAUGACUUGUGGCUAGGGGUGAAAGGCCAAUCAAACUCGGAGAUAGCUGGUUCUCCCCGAAAGCUAUUUAGGUAGCGCCUCGGACGAAUACUACUGGGGGUAGAGCACUGUUAAGGCUAGGGGGUCAUCCCGACUUACCAACCCUUUGCAAACUCCGAAUACCAGUAAGUACUAUCCGGGAGACACACGGCGGGUGCUAACGUCCGUCGUGGAGAGGGAAACAACCCAGACCGCCAGCUAAGGUCCCAAAGUAUUGCUAAGUGGGAAACGAUGUGGGAAGGCUCAGACAGCUAGGAUGUUGGCUUAGAAGCAGCCAUCAUUUAAAGAAAGCGUAAUAGCUCACUAGUCGAGUCGGCCUGCGCGGAAGAUGUAACGGGGCUAAGCA
rnacentral:rRNA from 2 species